CCUUUGAUAAGGCUCAAAAUUCUCACAAACACAGUUCAACACAAGUGUCUUCCUUCUACCUUACUACUAAUCCUAUGUUUCUUGUCCGAUCUCAUCUUGCACAGGAAAGGCACUAAAGAACAUUUGUUUUUCAUUUUUCUAGGAUGUGGAUAUCGUUGUCAAGGCCAACAUUUAUGGCCCAUCCCCAAUUGUGCCUUGAGAAGUUGAUAGUGAGUCACCUGCAAAUGAGUAGCUUGCUGAGCCUUUUAACAGACCAGAUGCUGCCCUCACCUCCAGAGUGUAAAUGGCAUUUAUGUUUUUUAUUGAAGACUCUCAAAUAUUCUGCCGGGGCAGUCGAACCAUCCACAGUCGGGGCGAUCGAAGCUCCCGCAGCCAGCGAUCGAAGAACCCGCGCCGGGGCGAUCAAAGUCCCCGUGUCGGGGCAAUCAAAGCUUCUGCAGCCUGGAGCUCCCGAAGUCGGUCUCUAACCAGGGACUGCAAUCUCCACGAUGUUAAGUCCGCAGGCUCCCGUGGUUGGAGCUACGAGGUCGAUCCCUGGCAAAGGGAUCGCCAGCUCCACGAUGUUAAGUCCGCAGGCUCCCAGGGUUGGAGCUCCCGAAGUCGGUCUCCAGCUGACGCCGCUAACUCCUCAAUGUUAGGCCGCAAUGCGGACGGAGAUAUGGUACAGAAAGAAAAUUGCAUCUCCGUUGAGACAUCUAAUGAGGAGGUUUGUUAUCAGGACGCAUCCUUCAUUGUGUGGGAGAUAGUUGCAUGAUGACGUCAUCUAGAUCACAUCGGACUUGAUCCGUCAGUCAUCAAGUUAACCAAAUGAGGAUAUGCCUGAACCAGCUGCUAUUGAAACUGAUAGAGUGAAUCUUCUUCUUCAUGUGUAUGGCAUGCACAGCUUAAAGUUUAAAGACAACUUAUUCGAUUCGAUCUUAUUUGAUUGGGCACGCCGGGUUGAUUGCAUUCGGCGAAACAGAGCGGACCACGUGAAGGUUGCAACCUUCCACCCCAUGGAGUGAAUGAAAACACAUUUCAAAGUAAGAUGUACCAACCUCAGUGAUGUCCCUGUUGUAUUAAGCUAUGACAUGCAUGUGUGGAAACUGCUAGACUAAUCAAAUUUGUAAAAAUGAUAAUGUUACUUGUAAAGAUUUGUUGAUGGAUUGGUGAUUGUUCUUUCUGAAGGUAUCUUAUCAACAUAUACUUGCACUCAUGAUGGGGGCAAGAGAUGGGAUCAUCCUUGUUGGGAACUGCUAUACUGUGAGUGUUAUUUUCACAAUGUUUACAUGAACGGAAUGGUGCCAUUAAAUAGACUGGUAUCCGAGACAAACAUAAUGCUGGACCUGCCACAAGGAAGUGAAACUGCACCAAUGUGUUACUUAGAUCAUUGCAAAAAAGGCCUGGUGCAGACUUAUUCUUGAAAACAUUUUAACUUUGGAAUAGUACUUAUCAUAUAAGGGAAUAAAUAUGCUCUCUUAUUGCCCCCUACAACUGAGAGCACCCUUACUACUGAGAGAAUGCUUGCAGAAUUUUUGUGACAUGGAAAAUGGCAGAUUUAAUUGAAAUUUGAAUGAGCAUUCGUGUUCAUGGUUCAGCAGCUGAAUAAUGACAUAUAUGAAAACUUGAGUUGGAAGAUGCUAAUUCUCACACUUACCACUACAACUUCUUUGUAAUUCUCUAUGAAAUGGAGGGAGUCAUUUUUAAUGUAACGACAUAACCUGCAUGCUUAAUGAGGAUCAUUUUCCCUGCAUUGUGACCAGCUGAAAGAACUGUGUAAUUUCCCCAUGUCUUCAGCCGACUGGUCUAACCAGUUUGCUGCCUUACGCUUUGCUGAAACAAUAACUUUUGCUUUCCUGGUACAUGGAAAUGUUACCAAGGUGAAUACCCGAAUCAUAGUGUUGCAGAGCACAGAAACAGGCACUUCAUCCGACCACAUACACGCUGACCAUUGCACCCAACUGUAUUCAUCUUAUUUAGGUCUUUUAUGCUUUGGCGAUUCAAGCACUUCAAUAGACAGUUUUUAAAUAUGGUGAGAGAAUUUCCCUCACCACUUCCUGAGACAUUCCAGAUUCCAUACACUCUGUGUGAAACAAUUCCUGUAAAAGGUCCUCUAAACUUCUGACCUCUUACCCAAGAAAAUGCCUCACAAAAGUAAUUGAUUGUUGCUAGUUAUUAUGCUCUGUUCAUGAACAAUAUUUUAAAAUGUUUUCAAGAAACUGAAACAUUAUGAAAAAUUAGUAUUUAAACAAUCUCAAGGGGCUUUGAAUUUAUUUUGAAAGUGCAGUGAAGAGUCAAGAGAGUUUAAUAGUCAUAUGUACCGGCAACGAUAUAUCAAAUUCUUACUUUGUGCAGCUUUCCAAACCCGUAAAUACAAUAAGAUAACCAAUAAAUAUAAAUAAUCAUACGUAAAAAAUUACCAGGAAUACUCGGUAAUUAGACCAUCAUAAUGUUAAGUAUGUAUUCAACUAAUACAAAGUCUAUAUUACGUCAUAGAUACAAAGGUGGGAUUCUGCAGGGUUCCUGGAAAGAAGGUGUUUUUUUAACUUAGAAAUUAUGGUUCUCAAGCUUCUUUCCAAUGGUGGGAGCAAGAUGAGAGCUUGGUCUGAGUGGUGCGUGUCUUUGAUAAUAUUAACUGCCUAUUUGAAGCAGUGCCUUCUGCAGAACCCUUUGAUGGUGGUGAGGCCAAACAUAUGAAGGACAUGGCAAUAUUUGCCAUUUUCUGUAGAUUCCUUCAUCAUUAUGCGUGUUGCAACCAGUCAAUGUGCGCUCUACCACACAUCUGUAGAGGUCUGAUCGCGUAUUUGGCAAUAUAGCGAAUAUCCUCAAUAUUCUAAGGAGGUAGAGGUGUUGAUGAACUUUCUUUGUGAUUGCAUCAUUGUGCUGGGCCCAGGCUAAAUCCUCAGAGAUAUGCAUGCCCAGGAACUUAAUGUUUUUUACCCUCUCCACCGGUAUCUCGCCAAUGAAGGCAGGUUCAUGGAUCCUUGGCUUUCCCUUUCUAAAGUUAUCAUUCAGCUCCUUGGUCUUGCUUACACUGAGAGCAAGAUAGUUGUUUAGGCACCAUUCAGUCAGUUUAUCAUUCUCCCUCCUGUACUCAUCGUUACCUGCUAUUUGUCCAACCCUGGUGGUAACAUUGGCAAAUUUUAAGAUGACGUUGGAACUAUGGCUGGAUACACCAUCAUGAUCAUAGCAAGAGAAUAGAGCUGGGGACAAAGCACAUGGCCUUAAGGUGCUCUUGUAUUGAUAGUAUUUAAAGAGGAAAUGUUGCCAAUUCAUACUGAUUGUUGGCCUCAAAUGAGAAAAUUGAGGAUCAAAUUGCACGUUCAAGUAGAGACCCAGUUCCCUGAGUUUGAUGAUGUUUAGUUGGGAUGAUGGUGUUGAAUGCCGAGUUGUAGUUGAUGAACAACAGCCUGACUUAUGUGUUCUUAUUGUCCAAGUGGUCCAGUACAGAGUUGAGAUCCAGCGAGAUAGUAUCCCCUCUUGAUCGAUUGUGGUAGUAGACAAAUUGUAAUGUGUCCAGGUCCUUAUGAAACCAGGAAUUGAUAUGUGUCAUGACCAACCUCUCAAAGUACUUCAUCACUGUGGACGUCCGUGCCACUGGUCAGUAGUCAUUGAGGCAUGUCGUCUAACACUUCUUAGGCACUGCAAUUGUGGAUGUCUUUUUAAAGCAAUUAUCAUUCAUCCAUGGACAGUUUAAACUGUUUUAUAACACUAACAUUAUUUAAAACAUAAUUUCCUUUUUAAACCUCUAGUUCUUAAACAUUUUUUAACAUGCCUAGUCCUUAAGUUAUUGCCAUUUCCUUCGUGUUAUUUUCCAAACAUAUGAAUUAUAAGCAGGAGAAGGCAACUUAACCAUGUCCUACAGUUUUUUUUUUAAUUUUUUUUUAAAUUUUUUUAUUUUUUAUUAGAAGUACAAUAAGUUACAGUAAUACACACCACAUAUAUCUUAUUACAUUUGUUGUACCCCUUCAUUUUUUGAGCUUUAAGAAAGAUAGAAAUAAAAGAAGUAAGGAAAGUGAGAAAGAGUUGUGAUAGUGCAGGAAAGUGUUGGGAAAAGAAAGCCCAUUAGAAAGAGAGUUAAAGUUAAGAAAUAGACCCUAGAAAAGAAAGAAAGAAAGAGAAACAAUCGCUCUAUUAUAAAAAAAACUCCGCAAAAAGGGAUAUACCAACCAUAUUGUUCACCCCCCCCCCCUCGUUACCAGAUCCUGGCACCAUUUAUUUUUUAAGCCUCCUGUCCCACUAUUUAAUGAGGUCCCAGAUUGUGACUGCAAAUCCAUAAUCCAUAAUCUCACCUACCCUGAUAACCAUUCACCCCCUUGUUUAUCAAGAAUUGAUCUAUCUUACGACAAACCAGAAAACAUUUUUGCUUCAUCUCUUUUUGCGCAACUAUGUGUUAUUAAACUGGUUCUAGAUCCUCCUACACGAGGAAACAUCCUCUUCAUGUCCACUCCAUCAAUUCCCCAUAAAUAUUUCCUUAUGGAAAAAUCUUCACUGGUUUUCUCCUGCAAGCUCUGCGCUGAAAGGCUUCCAGGUUCAUUGGUUUCUAUUCUUCCCAGAAUCACUUUCUUCAUAUAAGCACCCUAUCCCAGGUUAUUAAUCAUCUCCAUGCCUUUGACAUCUCUUGAGAAAUUCCUAUAUCAAUUGUUUUGAUCUGUGAUGAGGCAAUUUUUUUAUUACUUCCUUGUAUUGCUCUUUACCCAUGUCCCUGAUUCAUUUUCAUCCCUACUUCCUUCUAUACAAAUCCAUGAGAGAAAGUUCUCCUAAAAUCUCAACUAUCUCUGAUCCUAACCAUUUUCUGUGAUAUAUUUGCAACCACUUACCCACUCAACCAGACUCUAAUCUCCACUGAUGCUCCAGUCUUCAUUGUACACUAUCAUUCUCAUUCUCGUUCUAUCAAGGCCUGUUCCUGUUCCUGUUUGUUUUAGGCUAAGGGAUACUGACUUGAAUGGGUAUCAUGCUAAGCCAUUCACAGGUCUGAAUGUACUUGCAGCCUUUGCAAGUACAAGAGAACUUAAGAAAUAGGAGCAGUAGUAGAUCAAGCAGCCCCUUGAGCCUGCUUCACCCCUAAGUAAGACCAUGGGCGAUAUAACGUGUGUCUUUGCUUCAGUAUCUGUUCUGUUUCACAUAAUUCUCUGUCUGCAUGAGACUUGGAGAAAUUCAUUGUCUCAUGCUUCCUUGCUCCUUUAAUUCCAAAGAUUCAAAACCCUCUGUGAGGGUUCCCCUUGGUCAUUUUUAAAUGGGCAACGCCAUAUUCUGAAACUAAUCCCUUGAUCAUGAUUUCACACAACAGCAAACAUCCACUCGGAAUAUAAAAGUCCCUCAACAUUUUGUAUUUUAUCCUUUUAUUCUUCUAAAAAUUCAAUGAAUAUAGGCUUAAGCUGUUCAAUGUUUCUUUGACAGCCAUUUAUCUAAUACUCUUAUUUCUCACUUUUCAUCGAUCAUCCUGAAAAUGAAAAGAUAAGUUCCAGGUUUUACUCUCCAUCAGAAAAUAUCCUGUUAAACCCUUGACCCUUAGCUCCAUCAGGUGAAAGAUGCUCACUUUUAUGACAUUAAGACUGAGCCAUUUGUUCAGCUGCCUCUACAGCUACUCUCCUUACCUUAGCCGACCAAUCCAAAUUUUAGAGAUUCUCAAGAUUUUGCUCUGAACUUGCAGGUUUCUCAAGUUGCUCUCCUCAUCACUCUAUGCACUCUUUUAGUGGACCAUCCACCCAUUUCCUUAUCACACGAACUCUCCAUCUUUCCAAAUUAUUGCUCCAACCAACUUUUCCUUCCUUUUCAAAAGUCCUCAUAAGCAUUAUAGUCUCCCAUAUCCAAGCCCAUUUGUGUAAACUACUAUCAGUUGACUAUUCUGUCAUGAUACCAAAGUAGCCAGCACAGAAGGAUGCCACUACAGUAAUUGCUGCAGGAUGCCUAAAGCUGGGAUCUAAAUUUUCCCAAUUAUUUGAUAAUCAGAAAGGACAUGUAAUCAGAUAAAAGAGGUGGAGUAAUCUGCUUUGCUCCAUGUCCAAGUUUGCAUGACCGCCCACACCAUCUUCCUCCGUUGGCCAACUAGAGUAGGGAAUCAGCUGAAGUAAUGUUGCAUCCCGAGUCUGUAUAUUGAAGACAAUACAUGACUACAAUCGAGCCAUUUACAGUCUAUAGAUACAUGAUAAGGGAAUAACAUUUAGUGCAAGGUAAAGCCAGCAAAAUCCGAUCAAGGAUAGCCUGAGGGCACCAACAGGGUAGAUAAUAUUCAGGACUGCUCUCUGGUUGUGGUAGGAUGAUUCAGUGUUGUCUGCCAACUAACCUCUCCUGCCUGGAGUCUGAAGAAGGGUAGCGAUCCAAAACAUUACCUGUCCAUUCACUCCACUCCAUGCUGCCUGACCCGCUGAAUUCCCC